rnacentral:tRNA from 1 species
CGCGAAGCUGGCCGAGCGGCGCGCGGCCGGCGGCCGGGGCCUGUCGGCAGCACUGGCCGGCUGGCAGUUCAGCCGCCGGCCGCUGCGCGGC